rnacentral:rRNA from 1 species
CCUACGGGAGGCAGCAGUGGGGAAUAUUGGACAAUGGGGGGAACCCUGAUCCAGCCAUGCCGCGUGUGUGAAGAAGGCCUUUUGGUUGUAAAGCACUUUAAGCGAGGAGGAGGCGCUCUAGGAUAAUACCCUAGAUGCGUGGACGUUACUCGCAGAAUAAGCACCGGCUAACUCUGUGCCAGCAGCCGCGGUAAUACAGAGGGUGCGAGCGUUAAUCGGAUUUACUGGGCGUAAAGCGCGCGUAGGUGGCUAAUUAAGUCAGAUGUGAAAUCCCCGAGCUUAACUUGGGAAUUGCAUUCGAUACUGGUUAGCUAGAGUAUGGGAGAGGAUGGUAGAAUUCCAGGUGUAGCGGUGAAAUGCGUAGAGAUCUGGAGGAAUACCGAUGGCGAAGGCAGCCAUCUGGCCUAAUACUGACACUGAGGUGCGAAAGCAUGGGGAGCAAACAGGAUUAGAUACCCUGGUAGUCCAUGCCGUAAACGAUGUCUACUAGCCGUUGGGGCCUUUGAGGCUUUAGUGGCGCAGCUAACGCGAUAAGUAGACCGCCUGGGGAGUACGGUCGCAAGACUAAAACUCAAAUGAAUUGACGGGGGCCCGCACAAGCGGUGGAGCAUGUGGUUUAAUUCGAUGCAACGCGAAGAACCUUAC